AUUGAACGCUGGCGGCAGGCCUAACACAUGCAAGUCGAACGAGUGGCGGACGGGUGAGUAAUGUCUGGGAAACUGCCUGAUGGAGGGGGAUAAAUACUGGAAACGGUAGCUAAUACCGCAUACCAUCGGGAGUGCCCGGAUGGGCUUAGCUUUGUGGUGGGGUAACGGCUCACCAAGGCGACGAUCCCUAGCCGGUCUGAGAGGAUUACCAGCCACCCUGGAACUGAGACACGGUCCAGACUCCUACGGAAGUCAGCAGUGGGGAAUAUUCCACAAUGGGCGCAAGCCUAAUGCAUCCAUGCCGCGUGUAUGAAGCAGGCCUUCGGGUUGUAAAGUACUUUCAGCGGGGAGGCGUUACCCGCAGAAGAAGCACCGGCUAACUCCGUGCCAGCAGCCGCGGUAAUAC
rnacentral:rRNA from 1 species